rnacentral:rRNA from 1 species
UACGUAGGGUGCGAGCGUUGUUCGGAAUUAUUGGGCGUAAAGGGCUCGUAGGCGGUCUGUUGCGUCGGGAGUGAAAACUCAGGGCUUAACCCUGAGCCUGCUUCCGAUACGGGCAGACUAGAGGUAUGCAGGGGAGAACGGAAUUCCUGGUGUAGCGGUGAAAUGCGCAGAUAUCAGGAGGAACACCGGUGGCGAAGGCGGUUCUCUGGGCAUUACCUGACGCUGAGGAGCGAAAGUGUGGGGAGCGAACAGG